GGGUCGGCCUUAGCUCUAGCGGUUACUUCGCAUGUUUGUUGGAAUUGUUCAACAUCAACCUCCCACGAGGUUCGAGUCCCGCGGGCGCUCUCCGACCCUUUU
rnacentral:vault_RNA from 1 species